GAAGCAGCCCCCACAUUUGACAGCAAACAGCCUGGCAGCAGGGGAGAAAGGGAAGCAGGGUCUUUGAGAAAGGUCGGAUGGGGGCCAGCUGGCCUCAGGUCAACAGCACCCGAGACUCCAAGCCCCGGGGUGAGGAUGUUUGGGAACGAAAUACACUUGAAAUCCAGAUGCUGGGUUCCCGGAGGAGGCCGAACCAAGGGAUUCGGUUAAUUUCAACAAGCCACAGAAGGGGCUGUCUGUCUAUGCCGAACCAAAGCAGUAGGGACUAGUGACGUGAGAUGAAUAAAAGAAAAUCCCUUUCAGAAAUGAGCGCAGGCUAACGGAAGAGACAGGACACAUCUAAAUGACGGCGGCGGGACCCGGAGGAGGAAACAAGAACGAUCCGAUCGGGGGGCGCCUAGAGUCAGCUGCCUUUUAUCAUGAGGGUUGGGGAUCCCUACUCAGCAGCUCAGGAGACAAGGGCAUUUCAAAAGCCCAUAUGAAGGCGUGACACCUGAGAAUGUCCUCGAGAACAAGUCUAAGGCCACCAGGAAAGAGGCACAGGAUGUAUAUUUCAGCCUCCAAGUUAUUUUACUUCAACGGGAGAGAAGCCCGUGGAAGAAAAAAAAAAAAGAGGGAAUGAGUCUUUCUCCAAUACUCACUGGGUGCCAGCAACCGCCAUAUUCCUUCUAUCUAGCACCUCGAUGAACUUGUGAGGCACUCUAGUUCUAGAGGACGUAGAACAAGUUUGUGAACUCAAAGGCUGUCUCACCAUGUUUCAGUUCAGCCUCGUUCAUGAUGCUUCUCUUCCCCAGAAGAGAGACUCUGAGGUGUGUGAUUCAUAGGCUCCUUCUCCCAUUUUUCUCUGAUAACCUCUCUAGCACUGUUUUCACAGGAGAAACAAAUAAAAGGAUCAGGCAGCUGAGAUGGCUAUGUCACGGGACCCAUGACUGGGUCCUGAGAGGCUGCCAGGGGAUGUAGAAGAAAGGCAGGGGUUAGGCACCAAGUUGAUUCCUUCAGGCUACUCAGCCCUUGGGCCCCAAUGUACCUGAAGGGAUCCCUGAAAGGGGUCUGUCCUCCACAGAUUUAGGUUAAGAACAAGCAAUGUCUGGGAGACCCCCUCUGACCCAACAGCAGCAUGCAAAGUCUACGCUGAUUCCAAGAUGAGAUCAUUCCUGCUGGAACCCCAUUUGCUAGGAAACCUGGCGGGGGGGGGGGGUCUCUAUUUUCAGGGUAUAGACAAAAAUGUAGGCCAAUGGGGUUGGACCCAGGAAGACCCAAGGAAGCCCAGCCACAGACUGCAUUGUGGAAACAGGGUAAGGAGGCAAAAUGAUGUAACCAAAUAAACGUAGGUCCAAGUCCCUACUUCACCACUUAUUAGCCAUGUGAUCUUGGCCAGGCGA